CUGCCCCUCCUUCAUCCGGGUGACGUAGUCCUUGAGGCUGGUGAGCUCGUCGCCGCUCUUUGUCGAGUGGUAGCGGAGCAGGUCGGCGAGCUUGGCGCGGUUCUGCGAGUCCUCAUGCACGCCCAGCUUGAGGUUCUUGGAGAAGGCCUCGUAGAACUUUGCGUAGUCCUCCUUGUUCUCUGCGAUCUCGAAGAAGAGCUCGAUGCACUUCUUGACGAGGUUCUUGCGGAUGACCUUGAGGAUCUUGUUCUGCUGCAGCGUCUCGCGGGAGAUGUUGAGGGGGAGGUCGUCCGAGUCGACGACGCCCUUGACGAAGCCCAGCCACUCCGGGAUGAGCUCCUCGCAGUUGUCCAUGAUGAAGACGCGGCGCACGUAGAGCUUGAUGUUGUUCAUCUUCUUGCGGGUGUCGAAGAGGUCGAAGGGCGCGCGGCGGGGCACGAAGAGCACCGCCUUGAACUCCAGCUGCCCCUCCACCGAGAAGUGCUUCACGGCGAGGUGAUCCUCCCAGUCGUUGGUGAUGCUCUUGUAGAAGGACGCGUACUCCUCCUUGCUGAUCUCCUCCGGCUUGCGCAGCCAGAUGGGCUUCUGCUUGUUGAUCUGCGCCCACUCGUGGCUCACCUCCUUCACCUUCUUCGUCUUCUUCUUGUCCUUGUUCUCGGAGUCGUCGUCGACCUCCUCGACCUCGCCCUCCUUCUUUUCUGCAGAAUCAUCGUCUUCGUCGUCGCUGAUCUCCUUCUCGGUGGUCUUCUCGGUCCAGAGGUAGAUGGGGUAGCUGAUGAACUCCGAGUGCUUCUUGACGAGGUCCUUGAGGCGGCGCUCCUCCAGGUACUCGAGCUGGUCGUCCUUGAGGAAGAGCGUGAUCUUGGUGCCGCGGCCGAGCCGCUCGCCCUCCGUGUCGAGGGUGACGGUGAAGGAGCCUCCCGCCUGCGACUCCCACACAUACUGCUCGUCGUCGUUGUGCUUGGUGGUGACCACCACUUUCUCGGCGACGAGGUAGGCCGAGUAGAAGCCGACCCCGAACUGGCCGAUCAUGCUCACGUCCGCGCCCGCCUGAAGCGCCUCCAUGAACUCCUUGGUGCCGGAGCGCGCGAUGGUGCCCAGGUUGUUCACAAGGUCUGCCGCCCGCCACAGCAAACAAUCAAUUUAGUUCCCGUUAGACAUCGUCAGAGUUCAGAGGCAACUGAAGUUUCAGUCUGAAUCUCUGAAUUAGUUAUCGUUAGAAAUUCAGCAACCAAGAAUUCAGCUAGCGUCCAUGAUCGAUUGAUUGGGAGGGAAAGAGGAGGGAGGAGAGGCAUACCUGACUUUGUCAUGCCGACGCCGCUGUCGAUGAUGGAGAGCGUCUUGGUGGCCUUGUCGGGGACGAGGCGGAUGAAGAGCUCCGGCUGCGCGUCCAGCUUGCUCUUGUCGGUGAGGCUCUCGAACCGGAUCUUGUCAAGCGCCUGCAAGCAAGCAUAGCAGCAUUCGCGUGUGAGCAAAUCAAGCAAACAGACAGAUUGCUCUGACUCUGACGACGAACGAGCAAACAAGCCAGAGAGGAAACAGAGCAAGGAAGAAACAGAGGAGCAAGCAAGGAAGAGAGGAGUACAUACAUCUGAGGAGUUGGAGAUGAGCUCGCGGAGGAAGAUCUCCUUGUUGGAGUAGAAGGUGUUGAUGAUGAGCGAGAGCAGCUGGUUGAUCUCCGCCUGGAACGCGAAGGUCUCCGCCUCCGCCGCGCCGCCGCCCAUCUGCACGUCCGUCGCCAUGGCCUCUCUUUCGCCGGAAGAUUGGGUUGGGGGGAGAUGGAUUGGAUGGGUCGGUGGGUGGGUUCCUCGCUGCGUGCAAUGCCGCCGAUUCGGAUUCGCUCGCUGCGGUGCUUGGUUGUCGCGCUGAGAGAAGAGAUUUGGGAACAAACAGACAGAUUGACGAACAGGUGGCGAGCGGGUGGAUUUAUACCCCGGAGAGGGGAUCGAUCGGGGCCUUCGCAGGUGUUGUGGCGCCUUCCACGGAUUGCGGGCGCGAGCUCGCGGGGAGAGGCGGGAGCUUGGGCGCGCGUUCGCGGGGGUUCCCGAAGGUUCUUGCGGCUCCGUUGGUGCGCGGCGAGGGAGGCGGUUCGCCUUGGUGUCCCGAAGCUUCUACCUACAGCUACAUAGUACUCGUACAAUGGACCUCAGAAGAAACGGGAAGCUAUAUCUCGCUUGUACGCACGCCUCUACCGCCCGCGUAUGGCCCGGCCCAGGAAUGAAUGCCCAAACCAGAAAGCAAAAGUGAGUAGGGUGCGUGCGUGUUGCUGUAUCAAAUCGAGAUUGUGUGGGUACUCGCUCAAGUUCGACGCUAUCAAAAAUACAAAUCAUUGGAUGGAUGCCCGGGCGUUGAGAAGACAUGGCGCUUUUGGAGGCGGACAGAACAAUGUCAAAGAGAACUCGGCAAAUGAGCUCGGGUUUCCUUUAUUUCUCCCUGUUUUCUCCGUGAACAUCUUGUAAAGUACACGGGUAACUCCUGUUAAACAUAAGACAUGCAUUUUCAGAAUUACGUGAUGAAACCAUUUCUAACAUUUUCUAAGUAUGUGUGGAGCAUUCUAAUGCGCGGUAAACAUGUUUUCAUACAUGACAAGCAUGAGUUAAAUUCACAAAACAAAAAAGUUCAAGACAGGAUGAACGCAUUAUAAGUUGACGGUGAACAUUUUUAACACACCAUUUAAAUAAUUCUUCAAGACAAUGUGAACAUUUUUUAAUAAUGAUGACAUGAACGUUUUUUACGUCAACAUCUUUGUAAAUUAUUGUUUGUGAUGUUCAUCAACUUUUUUUAAAUGUUCAUGUUGUUCAUCAAUUUCAAUAAAAACGCGAACUAGUGUUCAGAUUUUUUUUAAAUGUUUGUGAAUUUCAAAAAAAAAACUUCAUCGGUUCAAAACUAUUCACCAAUUCAAAAACUAUUCAUGAACUCAGAAAAUUGUUCAUGCAUUUGAAAAAAAAACGUUCAUCAAACAAAAAAGUGUUCAUGAUUUUCAAAAAGUAUACCCAAAAUUCAGAAAACGUUCGCCGAUGCAAAAAUUGUUUCUGAGUUCAAAAAAUGUUUGCAACUUCAAACAAAAUGUUCACGAAUUUGUAAAAAUGUUCAUGAAUUCAAAAGAAUAUUCACAAUUUAAAAAAUGUUCGUGAAUUAGUAAACAAUGUGUAGGAAUUUGAAAAAAUGUUUAUUAUUUGAAAACAAAUCUUAAAGAAUUUGAAAAUAUGCUCAUGAUUUCAAAACAGAUGUUCAAGAUUCCAAAAAAAAAUGUUCAGAGAUUUGAAAGAUGUUCAUGAUAAAGAAAAAGGAAAUAGUAAAAGAAAAGGAAACAAAAAGGAAAAAAGAACAAGAAACAUAAAAUAAAAAGGAAAAAAGAACAAGAAACAUAAAAGAAAAAAGAAAAAGAAACAAAAAACAUAACAAAAAAACAAAGAAAAAACCCGAAAAAACCGGUUAACGUUCCCAAAACCGAUGAGGAAUACACCUAAAAUGGGCCGUCCCAAACGCUGAUCGAGCUCGCUAGAGGGGGUGCGCCCUGGGUCGCUCUCGGGCGACCUGCGUGCCAAAUAAGAAACUACGCUUCUCCUAUGACCAGGGGGAACAAAGAUGACCCUGCCUACUGUGCGAUUCGUGAGUGACAAGGGUUGUUGGCCCAAGCCGGGGCAAACAUUGCUCAGGUGGACCCGGCCCAAGCCCGGACAGACAUUGCUCGGGUGGUACUGGGCUGGGUUUCUAAUUGGGGAGUUCCAAUCUAGCACUUUGUGCGCUAAGUAUUUUUGUAUUGCAUAUUCCACUUAAAUUUCCCAUCUUCGUGUUGCUCUCUCUCUCUCUCUCUCUCUCUCUCUCUCUCUCUCUCUCUCUCUCUCUCUCUCUCUCUCUCAUAUCUGGCACCAACAUUGUACUUCACAUGCAUGCACGACAAUAAUGUGGCAGAACCACUCUCUCUUUUCUUCCACACAAUAAAUUCAACAUCUUUUUCAGCUUGGCUAAUUUAUAUCAAUAUCUUUUCAACUAUAUAUUCGUCUUUGAAAUAUUUUCAUAUUUGAAAUUCUUGUGCCCAAAUCUUUAAAAUGAGAUCAGUCUUGGAUAUGUUUUUAACCACAUUUAAAUUUGAACAUAUGUUUCACAUUUUGAAAUAAUCAGUUUCACAAUGUUACAUUACAAUUUCACUUUAUGUUGUCACCGUUUCAUAAUUUAGAACCUACAUUUCACUUUUCACUGACUUGGUGCACAAUAAACAUCUAUUUCAGUUGCAUAUUUUUUAGAACACACAUUCCACUAUUUUGAAAUAAACUAUUACACAUGUCCAAAUAAUCAGUUUCGUAAUGGUACAUGACAAUUUCACUUUGUAUAACUACUAUUUCACAAUUCAAAACUUACAUUUCACUUUCCACCGGCUUGUUUAAAAAAACAUCUAUUUGAAUUGAACAUUUUUCAAAACACAUAUUUUUCACUCUUUUUGAAAUAAACUAUUACACAUGUCCAAAUAAUCAGUUCCACAAUGAUACAUUAGAAUUUCACUUUCUGUAUAACUCUUUCAUAAUUUUGAACCUGCAUUUCACUUCCACUGUCUUGUUUAAAAAAAUAACAUAUAUUUCAUUUACACAUUUUUUGCAUUAACAUAUUCCACUAUUUUGAAAUAAUUAGUUUCACAAUGAUACAUUAUAACUUCACUUUGUGUGAUUAUUACUAUUUCACAAUUCAGAAUCUAUAUUUUAUAUUUCACUAGUCUGUUUCACAAAAACCACAUCUAUUUCAAUUGCAUAUUUUCCAAAUAACAUUUCCAAUUUUUGAAAUAAACUGUUAUACAUUUCAAAAUAAUCAGUUUCGCAAAGCUGACAUUUCAGUUUCAUAUUUGGGUUAAAUAGGUUUCUAGUGAAAUAGUUUUUUUUUGCAAAUUUUUAUAGUGAAAUAAGUUUGUUUCACAUAUGAAAUGUGAAACAUUGAAAUUAGAACGUAUUUGAAAUGUGUCCAUUAUUGGUCUUAUCCUAUAUACUUAAGAAGUUCAUCCCCACUACCAUAUUUAUCUAAACAUGCAAGUUGUCCACAUCAGCAUCAGACCAUAUCAGCAACUCUAAACAUCCAUACAUGCCAUGUCAUGCCUUCAGUUUCCAUUUACAUGCAAACAGAUCGAAGCCCAGCCCCUUCUUGCGUUUUGUUUCCUGCGGUAGUAAAGAACUUCACCCACUUUAUGCAUUCUCGCAUGUCAUUAAUUAAUGUUUAACCAGCGCACAGUUCUUACCUUAUAAAGUUCCACCAUACCAUCCGAUUCAUCUCCCUUAAUCAACGGCAUUAUUCCCCUUAAACUCCCUCAUGCCAUCCAACUUCCUGCAAAUUGUAGGCUGUAAUAAUUACAAAUCAAGGAUUAAAAGCCCCCAUUGGGGCAUUGCGUUGUGGUGACCGCAGGCUCAGCUCCAAUUAGAUCACCUGCCUCUCAUCAUGUAUCCGGGCGGAGCGACCGGUGACCUAGGGCCCCAUCCUCUUCCUCUCCCAAUCUCCCUACCCGAGCCAUUCUGUUCUCAGGUACCAAGCACCUACAAGUUACUGCUGUUGUAUUUGCUCAAGGCGUUGAAUUCGAAGACCUCCAUCGUCGACCGGCUGCAUGUCGCCUGCUGCAGUCCCCAUGACCUUCGCUCGAUCGAAGUUUGGUGUCAUCUCCAGCGCCUCCACCCUGUAUCUCUUUCCUGUUGCACAUCAUGGACAAAUCCCCUGCUUUUAUCUACCCUUUGACUGCAGCAAAGACCUUGCCCUUGAGCAGGUAAAUAACCAAUGGUGUCAAUCCAUGAUUAUGUCUCCUAAAUUAAUAUUGCCGUGCGGUUAUCCUUCAUGCACCUCUAUUUCUUCUCAUACUGAUUAUAGUGCUCAGCGAAAUAUGGAUUCUCCAUUGCCUGCAGGUCCUCCCCCUCAUGGCAUCUGUACCAUGUAGCAUGCUAUUCGUUGUUGUUUUUUUGUGUGUAAAAUGUAGCAGUUUAUUUUUGAUUCCUUCAUUCCUAAUCCUCCUAUUAUCUUGCUACUUUAGCAUGAGGUUAUCCUACAUGUUUUGGUUAUUAUGUCCUCCCCCUCAUGGCAUCUAUACCACGUGGCAGGAUAUUCCUUUUUUAGGGAAUCAUAGCAGGCUAUUCCGGAUUUCUCCACUACUAAUCCUCCUAUUAUCUUGCAACUUUACCAUAAAUUUGUGCUACAUGAUUUGCUUAUUAUUUUUUACAACACCUUCUGUAAAUCUGUCCAGAGAUGGAUGAAAGAUCGAAUUAUUUUGACAGGAAAUGGUAGGACGUCUUAUACAAAUAAGUUAAUCUUAACAGGCACGCAUAAGAUAAAAAUAAGGAAGAUGAUCACAUCAGAUUAUCAAGCCAUUUUUGAGUAGUACAUAUUGCUUUUCUAACUCUAUGGGGUAACGCCAUAUAAUUUGUGUUUAAAAGUUUCCUUCCAAUUACCCAAAAGCACAUUUGGCUCACCAUCAUGCCUCUGAUCUUACCAGCAUAUGAAGCGUCCAUUUGGUUUCCAUUUUUUCCCCAAAGUGUGUUCCUUAAUUCAAUUUCUUUCAGGACUGCCAAGGGCAACCAAUGUAAAAAAAAUUAGUUUAGAACCCAAUAAUUAAGCAUGAAUAAUAUGAUUUACUCAUUAUAUAUUUUGCCAAUUAUAAAUCAUAUGUACUAUGCAUGAAAAAAUGAUACUUAUUACAAUAAUAUGAUAACACAUAUGUAUAUUCAGAUUUAGUUAUCAUAUUCUUAAUACAAAUAUCCAUCUUCAAUAAAAUCAAAUCACAUUAGUAUAUAUUGCAACCUAUUGCGCAGCAACGCGCGGGGUAUUAUCUAGUUUAAAAGGUUUUGAUGCCAGGAGUUCAAACAUGUAAAAGAACUCAAAUAGAAACUUAUGGUUUACGAGAUUUGGAUGAUUUAAUCUAAUAAAGAUGAAAUAAAAGGUUGUAUUUAAGGGGAUCACUAGCUGUGUUUGGUGAUGUUUACAUACUGUAUAACAGAAAAUGAGGAAAAACUGGUCACAACCCCAUGCAUCUUGACGUGCACAACAGAUGAUGGAUUCUUUAGAGUUGCAUAGCAUUAAAGUGCAGAAGGAGUUUGCGUGCUGGGCUGGCCGUACAUAACAUUUAACAAUUUUUUUUUGUCUUUUUUGGGUUUCUUCCCGCUGCGACGAUAUGCGUUGCGGUUUCUGCGGGGAUGGAUGGUUAUGGUUGCUGCAGGGACGGUCCAUCCCGCCGCCGCCCUCCUCUCGCCAUGGCCCAUGGUCGCUCGGCAACAAGGAGGUUUUGCACUCGAAAGGGCUGCGACGGGAGCCAUGUUACAAAGCUCGGAUCCUGCGAUCAAACUCGGAUCUGACGCCCCUCCGGCCCUCCCGUGCCGGUGCCGCUGGCUGGCCACGCACCGUGCACAACAGCUCAUGUUUGGUCACCUCUUGAUUCAGUAACAUUCAUGGCAAAAUUACUCUCAAGUGAAUCCACGGAGCAAAGGUUUAGCCCGACGAAUCAACGGCUCAACGCUCUGGCACGCGUGUUGUGCCUACGUGGAUAAAGAGUUGUACUACUACAACACUUCAGUUGACGCAUUGCAAGUCCUCAAUAUGAGAAUGAUAUUUGAGGAAGGGACACAAGCAUUCUACUCCCUCUGUUCCUAAAUAAUUGUCUUUCUAGAGAUUUCAACAAGUGACUACAUACGGAGCAAAAUGAGUGAAUCUACACUCUAAAACAUGUCUACAUACAUCCGUAUGUUGUAGUCCAUUUGAGAUGGCUAGAAAGACAAUUAUUUGGGAACGGAGGGAGUAGAAGAGAAAGGAUUUAGUCCUCCACGAAGAGCUAGGCGCUGAACUCGAGAUCAUCAAGGCAUUAGAAAAACCUGAAGAAUGUACUCCUGCAAAAGGAUCUAUUUUUUAACCUAAUUCCUCUCAAAUCUCAAUGCAUGUAAUGAUGCGUGCCGUUGCCCACCAUUUGUCGACAAACCAUCUCAAGCAUCACCUUCUCGCAAACUGGAUUUUUUUUUUUAGAAAUUUUGGAUAAGCCAGAUACAUAUUUUAAUAUUUACAGUAAUGUGAAAAGUAUGCAGGAAAAACUAUUUUGUUUUUUUUGAAAAAAAAGAGCAAAUGGUGUUGUUUUUAGGGGUGAGUGGUGGUAGAUCCUGACAAGUCGUGCUCAAGCAGUUUUUGGGCCAAUAAUGGCUAGUACAUCAAAAGUUGACUCCAGAGAUGGGCCGAGGCAAAGGGUGGGCUUUCAAGGUUCCGCUAGGGUUUAACGCCCUCGACGCCGCCGCACGCUCCGAAUGAGAAGAAAAGAAAUGGCAUCCUUAGCCCGCGCCGCCGCCACCGCCGCGAGAGCGGCGCUCCGCCCGGCGCCCCUCGCCGGCCGUGGCCUCGGCUCCUCCCUGCCGUCUUCCUCCCCCGCACGGGCCGCCCGCCUCCUCCGCAGGUAUGCUGCUGUCCAGUAGUCAGUAGAUGAGCGGAUCGAUGGGCGUGGUUCUGUGCGUGUGACAUCGAGGUUCCCUGCAGGUCGGCCGUGGCGGGGCUGGAGACGCUGCUGCCCCUGCACACCGCGGUCGCGUCGGCGCGCCUCAAGUCCUGCAUCGCCGUCGACUCCACCUGCUGGUGCUCCCUCUCCCAAGGUACCAAAUCCGCGCGGUGCCUUACCCCCCUUUUCAGUUUGUUUUUCUGGUUUCCCACAUUUAAAUUAGCUGGAUGCGUCAGUCUCAGAUUAAUUUAUGUAUCCACUAAAAGCAACCCUGUAAUCCUGGAGUUCGACACUUACAACCGAGUACAAAUGUUGAGCGGUGAGUGGUAUUGUGUUGCGAUGGGGAAUAGCUGUCGGUGCGGUUAUGAAUAUGGCUAUUAUCGACAUGCGAACCUACACACAAGAGAGUGAAUCCUGUUACUGUGGAGAGAUUCAGUGAUCAACAUGCAUAAUAGUUGAAUUUAUGGCGGUGAGAAGUAUUGCUCAUUAUUAGUCUGAGACUAAAUCGCCUAGUUUAUAAACCUUUAUACCUGUGAGUGAUAUAAUGAUCCCUUGCACUACAAGGAUAAGAUCCUAGAACACCUUGAGGCUAGCUUUUCGUUAAUACCUGCUGGUUGUUGCUAUCGCUCUUUUCUACGAAGGCAGUUAGUAUGUAACAUCUAUCGUUUUAGCGCCAAGCGACUAAACAACGUUUUGUUUGUGGUCAGUUAGGAUGAUUUGUCCACUUGUAUCCACUGUACUCAACUAAUUCUGUGUAUGGUUAGUUUUAUAGUAAGUAGGACCAUGUGUUAUCUUUGCUUGACUUUAUCUGUCGGUGACAGAGUAUUCAUAAAUCUGAUCAGUCAAGGAUCGAUGUGUAGCUACGGAGAAUGAAAUUCAUCAGCACAGUUUUUCGAAUUGCGGUAGCGUCAGAUCCUUGAUUUUCAUGGGUCUAGAUACCUUUUUAUUUCAUAUCUUUUUUACUUGACGAUUUUGUCACAUUUCUUGGAACUGAUCCAUGGGCGCCUUACAUUUUUGGAUUUGAGCGCGUAGUUUUUGGUUGUUGUGAUAUCCGGAAGGUUACCUAAGAAUAUCCAUUUUGUAUCACUUCACCUAGAGACAACACCAAAAGUAACAUCUGCAACCAUUUGUGUGUGUCCUCGUUCGCAUAGUUAAUUUUAAUUUUCCUACCGCAAAUCCCCUCCUAACAGUUCCUCACCAUGCUCUUCCUUGUACUUCACCCAAUCACUCCCCCAACUAGGAUUCCGGGUGACAUGGCAGGAAAACGGUAGCCUAUGUAUCCACUAUUGGAGAGACCUAGUUACCAGAAAAUAAACUUUAUUCCUUUGAAACGACCUGCUUCAUCUCCUGGGGCAAUUGCUAAUGUAGGGGCUCACUGCCGCUUCUUUUAGUGAGUGUUCUGUAGAAUAUUGAUGUCAUAUACUGAGGUUGACGAGCUAUAUAGCAUGUUUACACCAAGGGGCUGUUUGGUUUGAGACCAAGUUUGCCCAAGGUUGUCACACCUAAGGUUAGGUAAGUUUGACCAACUUAGAUGGGUGUUUGGUUCAGGCCACACCUUAGGCAAGCCACACUAGGGUUCCACAUCACAUACACUCAAAAAGUGUGGCAAUAUUCCCUUAGGCUUGUCAACUUAUGGCUCUCAUUUUGAAGAACUAGCCUUAGGCAAGUUUGACAAUAUUGUAUGGCAAAGUGUGGCAUUGCUAGGCCUAGAACCAAACAGCCCCUAAGAAAUUUUUCAUGGUAGAGUAGUAAUUUUGAUCUUCCUGAGCUCCAUCAGGUAAGUCAAACAAAUAUGUCAUCCUGGCUCGGCAGCAUUUGGCAGCAAGGACAGUAUUUUCAAGUUUUAUGCCCCCAAAUGUAGUUCUCAGUAAUGCAUAUCACUUGUUUAUCUUUGGACAGUCGUUUCUCUUUUGGUGUCACAGUCAGUAAUGCAUAUAAAAUGCUGCUAGUUUUGUGUGUCAGUAAUACAUAUUUAAUAUUGAGGUCUUGCUUGGUAGACCAGACUCCUUUUAUACAACCAGGAAAUAUCAAAUUGAUCAAUUAAUGCUGCUAAGUAAAUUGAAGUGGUUAUUCUCCGUUGUUUCCUUUUGAAAAGGAUGGGGUAUUUAUCUAUUGACUAUGGUUGUUAUAGGUUUUAAAAAGCGCGUCUGAUCAUGGUUAGGAGCUCUGCAGCUGAGAAGUGAAGACACCGAGUUAAAAAGAAAGUGCAUUUGUUUGCUGAUAUUUCUUAGACAUGUGUCCCAUCUAUUUUGCCACUCCUCUCGAUGAAUGUACUCUUAACAUAAUAAUGCAUACUGUUUUCUGUGUGUCAUAUAUUGAAUAUUGUGGUCUUGCUUGGCAGACCAGGGUCCUUUUAUACAACCAGUAAUGCAUAUCAAAAUGUUAGUUUGUGUGCCAGUAAUAACAUAUUGAAUAUUGACAUCUUGCUUGGUAGACUAUACUCCUACACAGCGAGGAAAUAUCGAAUUGAUCAAGUACAGUUAGUAAGUGAAUUGAACAUGAGAUGUUUGUAGUUGGCACCAAGUGAAUUGAAAUGCUUAUUUUCCGUUUUUUCUUAUUGGAAAAGAUGGGGUAUUUAUCUGUUGACUAUGGUUGUUUUAGGUUUUAAAAAGCGCAUCUGAUCAUGGUUAGGAGCUGCACAGCUGAGAAGUGAAGCCACCGAGUUAAAAACAAAGUGCAUUUGUUUGCUGAUAGUGCUUAGAACAUGUAUCCCAGCUAUUUUGGCCAUUGCUCUUGAUGAAUGUACUCUUAACAAAAUAAUGGAGCUUUGCCCCCUUUUCUCCGGGACCUUGAUUUUUUGUUGAGCCUGGAAUGAUAUUGGAUAUCACAUUAUUGCUUCAUUAUGAGCUUGAAAUCAUCCUGUAUUUGCUAUAAGCUUGAAAUCACCCUGCAUAAUUAGUCCUUGUCGACUUAACGUGAUGUAAUGUGUUAUUGCGUCAUCUAUUCUUGACCUGACCUGCUCUUCAAUUCCGUGAUAUAGGGUACGCUUUGCCUUUGUGACAAAGAGCCGCCCCCGAGGAAACCAAUGAACAUUAAGGAUCACAGACAUUUUGGGCUGUAAUAAUUAGAUACCUGUAAACUGACGGUGCAUCCAGACCUGUUUAAUAAUUAUAUAAUGUGAUUCCUUCAUGUUUUGGAGCAUGUUCAUUUGAUGCUGAAAGUUUUAUGCCCCGUGGGUUUUUCUGCGGCUCUUCCUUUGUUAUGCAUCAAGCUUUCCCUUGAGCCUUUCAUAUUGAUAUUUGAAACUGGUUUCGUGUGGAUUGGCUCAAAAACAGUUUGUACUUCAAAUAGAUUUGGCUAGCUGUUUGUUUAACCAACUGUUGUUGUAAGGACGAGGGUGUGCUAGUGGACUGGCAGAUCUUGCCUUACCAACGGAACUGUCGUACCGCAUCUGCUGUUCAUGCUAGUCCUCCUAUGUGAGCAGGGGCUAGGCGUCGGUGUUGCCCUCACUUGCUAUGAUGGCCGACUGUCUUGAUACUGAUGUUGCUCAAGAUGAUGAUGGCGCUCUCAUCGUGCUCUCGCUGCGCUUGAACCUGAUCUCAGACCCUUUUAGAGCGUUUUCGCCCUAUCCCUGCGAAAAUAAGCGGUGUUGAUGCACACCGUCUUCACCAUGUCCCAUGCCUCCUCUACGACCCUCUUCACAGUGAGCAUCUUUAACAACAUGGCUUGCAUGCUUUGCCUCUAAAUGCCCUAUGGUCGUCGUGGUUCUUUUCGCUCGUGUCCACCAUGUCCCAGAUGUUAGAGCGCAGGAGGUAGACAUUCCAUCGCCCUUUUUAACUCUGGUGGUGUAAGCUUGCAGCUGGUAUCCUACCAUCAGUAAUCUCAACAUGCUUCUGGGGGAUCUCCGGCGAGGCAGGACAACAUGAUGACCUCUCACUGCUCGUAGAUAUGACAACGACUUGGAGAGCGACAUGCUUGCAUGCAAAUUCUCUUGACACAGGCAAACAAAGGGGAGUGAUGCUUUGGUGUUGCGCCGCGUUGGGUGUGAGAAGCACCACAAUGCAAUAUGUUAGUGCCAUCCAACGGACUCAGAGUCAAGCGCUACAACCUCGUUGUGUGUAUGAACAUGGCACACACACGUAAUCUGAAAACUGAAUGACACAUGCCAGGGAAAACCCUGGAAAAACCAUAAACAUGUCACACACAUGUGGAGACCGAUGUGAAAGCCCAAAUGGCGAAUUGCAAGGAAAGUAGGAAACUGAAAAAAUGUUUAACAUGGCAUGUGCACACACACGCAUGCACACGCACACUGUGGUUCAUUUCAGAACCAACAUACAAUGCCAAGGAAAACAUGCAAAAACACAAGGAAAAUCAGAUAACCAUGAACAUACACACACAUGUCGCGGCUCAUGUGGAAAUUAGAAGACAUAGGCAAUGAAAAUGCCCCAAAAGAGAGUUGCAUACUUUGUGAAGAAGAAGUCGUAGAGGAAACCCAACUCCACCUCCAUGAUACCAAAUGUUGUGGAGUAAUGGUCGGCUUCAUCACCGUCCUCCGCGAGCAAGCCCUCAAGUGCAAACAUGCGCGUCUCUGGACAACCGGCUUUUGCACAAUCCAUCCCGAAGAAGCGGCGGCACAACAAGCGAGACAACACAAACGAGAGGCAUGCAUGCCUCAUCUGCCAGCUGUCUCGAGUUGUGUUGCACAAGCCAUCAUGAAAUGUCAUGUCCCAUAUCUUGUCGAUGGAAAUGGUUUUGCACCAGCUGAAACUCCAUGAUGUAGACAAUUUUUGGUCCAACUGAUUCUCUGAACACCAUUGCACCGUAGGUGAUACAAACUAUUGGCCAUACAGUCUCCAUGUGAAACAACAUUACAUGCUCGAUUACAAGAGGCAACAACUUUGAAGUCAAGAGAACCAGUCAAAAGCACACCAUGCCGAGCAAGAUUAUGAGCACUAAAUGUUAAAGCAUUCCCAUGGAUAGUAGGAUCCGUCUCGAUAAUCAUUUGUCCAAGCAUCAAUUGUGGAUUGAACUGUCACCCCUCAAUAUAGAUUUUGGAGCUUCAGACUUCUUUGACGGGACAUCACAUAACUCCUUCAGUUAGCGCAUCCAAGAUACAAUGGCAAUGACAAGUGACAUGGUCAGCUGCAUUGUUUCUCCUACAUUAAACAAUAACCCGGGCAUCCCAUAUGUUCCACAUUAGAGUGAAAGUUGCAGAACAAACAUCAUAGCGUAAACUCUAAAUCGACAAAGUUAUCUGCAUGAUUUUUGCACAACUGACGAGAUAUAUUUUUCUUUCUUCAAAAAGGGGGUUGACCCCGACCUCUACAAGAUGAAAACACAAGUCACAUAUUUACAAUUGGGGAAGGAAAGCAUGCCCUCCAUCUUCAUCCAAUCGGCUGCAGAGAGGUCAAAUUGUAUUUACCUCGAUUACUUUCAUGUGGAGAGCUCCAAAGAAACACGCACACCUUCCUUGGAAGAUUUAGGUUGGAGAUUAUGUUUCACGGUGUUGGAGGCUCCCUUGUCGGAUCUGGUACAGUACAAGAGCAAGCCUUUUGUAAUAUUAUUACAUUUUUAUAGAAAUUCCAAAAUAUGAUUAAAAUAGAAAUUUACCGGUUAGUUCCCUAUUUACGGGAUAUUGUUGCCACUAGAAUGGUAGAACCUGUGUCGCCUAGAGCCACAACGAUUGAUGGUUGUUGUUGCCGCUAGCAUUGACAUGCUCAUGUUGUUUGCAGUGGCAAUGAUAAAGUUUGCCCUGCCCUCCUCUUCCAAGCGCACACAAUCUUCUGUACAUGAAAUUAAUAUGAAACUACUAUGUAAUUUGCUGAUAAUAACUUACAUAAACUACUACUGUCCCGAGAGGGUUUCAAGAGCUCCUCAAAUUUGAGUAGGAUGGAUUCGGUUUAUGGGUAAACUUAUCAUAUUUAAUGGGGCUAGAAUUUUAAUGGGAAGGACUCGGUGGUGUUAACUCAUAGAAGUUCCGUUUUGGGGAGAUGAAUCUUCUUGGGAAGAGCUAGAAAUGCUCCUACUAGCUACGGACUCACCAAGAAGAUUCUUUCUAUUGAAACUCGUUUGUUGGUUCCCAUUGUUAGCAUAAUCUUGAUUGUUGUCUGUUUAGUUAAUUUACAUGUAUUAGUUGGUAUGUGGGUUAGUAGUUGUGUGUGGCUAAUAUGCCAUGUCGUGCAUUCAAGUAGUAGUCUAAUAGGAGAUUAGGAGUCCAAGCACUAAUAGGCCAUGUAUGUGGUCUUUCCUUUGUUCGGAUGUUCGUGUCCAUAUGGAGCAACCACAAGAACUAGCAUAUAAUUUUGAGGAUAUGAACGCGCCACGCACGCACGCACGCACGCAUGCACUUCUUAUUUCACUCAAUUCUUAUAGUUAUCACGUCACAUGCAUCCCAAGCAAGACACAUACAGAAAACACAUCACACAUAUAUAAGAAAAACUGAUAUUUUUAUUCAUCACAACAAAGGGACCUAAAAGUCCGGGUGGCUACAUAGGAUCUUCUGGAUGAGAAAGGACAACAAUCUCAUCUUCUUAUUUGAAUUGAGAAACAAACGCCGAAAAUAAGAACAUUAGCCGCUAUUGCUUAGCUAGAGUUGGACACGUAGACACCAAGCGCAUCGAGAUAUAUCCCACUACGCCCGAAAAAGCCCACUAUGCUGCUAUUCUUUUCCGCAGGUAUGGUGAAAGGGGUUCCCUUUGCUUCUCCGAAAGGCCCAUAAGCCUUCACAUUGGUGAUGAAUUUCAGUGACGUUAUUAUGUGGUGUUGGUCUUUGUCAAAAAUGCCGUGUGUCCCAGAGACUUCCUUCACAAACUCAGAAGCCCCGAGUACGAUCUGCAUAGCAAAAGAAAAAAGAAGUGUUGAGUUGCUUACAUAUGGAAUUGAGAAAAUCACAUAAAAGUCAAUUCAGAGAUCGAACCGUGUUUUGAUUUCCUCCGGAUCCUCCCCAGGGUCCACCUGUGUGCUUCUGGCCAGCUUGGUCAACAUAAGAAAAUUUGAUUGAAUCAACAAUCAAGCCGCUGCUAACUGUGAUGCUCUCUAGACGCCUUGGUGCCUCAACGAUGUCUUUAUCCGACCCUCCACUUCCACCCCAUGGUCCAAGCUUUGUGAGAAGGCUCUACAAGAUAUAAUAACCAUGUGAUGUUUGCUUAAAUGAAAAGGAUCGGUGUGAACAAAAAUCAAUGAAUAUUUCUAUGGAGAAAAAUAGCAAUAUCUCCUAAUUAAAAAUAAAUGAAUAAGUAAAUAUUUCUAUGCAUAUUCAUCUCACCGGCGAGCCAUUCAGCACGGGACAGAACGCGUGGACAGUGAGUUCUAUGAUGUUACCAUCGCUCCUCUGCUCAUGGAACUUUUUGUAUAUGACACCGUUUGCCAUUGCGAACUGUCCUGUCCCACCAACAAUAGCCCACUCACCUUCCUCAACAGAUAUCCCCAUCACCUGAAGCGUUGACCCCCUUAAACCUGUAUCAUGUCCACAGAUGGUUGGCAACUGUAUCAUGCACUGAAAUAUGCAAUACCACCUAAUAAUAGAAUCAAAUGUAGCUUAACUAAUCCACAUGAAGAUGCAUUUCUAGGCAAAGAUAUAUAACCUUGCAUUUAUAUUUAUAUGCGUACGUACCUUUCAACCUCAAAGGUUAUGCUGAAAGUAUUCUGCCAGUUACCGGCAUAGAUAUGCAGGCCCUGUGCGCGUGCAACGACGGUGGCACCGGGGCUAGGGCUAUCACAUAUCGCCCAGUUGUUAACAGCCGUCUGACCCAAACCGGUAGUGGCAUUCGGGUCUAUUACCGUGGACUGGGUCUGAUUUGCGCCGAGGGAAGUGUGGAACAGGUACAGGCUGCGGAAGUUGAGCUCAUUGCUCUCCAUGAUCGCGGCGCGGGGAGUGAUCUGGAAAUUGGAGGGGUUCGCCAUGGCGGAGUUGGGUGUGGCUAGCUCUGGCUCAACCAGUGCUAUAGGCUUAUGAGAUAGUAGGUCGCUGUGUGUGAGAACUCGAAGGUUGGGAGUGGUAUUUAUAGAUCAUGGGAGCUAGCUAGGGCAAUGACACUAGAUGGAUGCUAGGGCAAUGGCGGCAUGCAUGUCAGCACUAGAUGGAUGGAAACAUGCCACGUGUCUUGUGCAUGUUGGGAUCUCAGCCAUGUGCAUCACGAACACCGUAGCAUGCACACGGAAAGGAAUCACUCUAUCUUAGAGCGCACGCUAGAAAUCAUCGGACAAUGGGAUCAUAUAUAUGAUAUUGUCCACCGCCGAGCCGGAGAAUCGGUGCUGACUCAGGCUCGUGUAUCACCGGAUCUCAGAUACGGUGGCAGUAAUAAAUGAAGGCAGGGUAACGCUUCACGUUGUGAUGUGUGUAGUAUAACUAACCGAGGACGUACACCUCGUGCAUCACGCGAGCCCCUUGUGCUCUGUGCUCACAAUCAGGGUGAGAUCUUCACUCUGCUCAAAGUUCACGCAAGUACGCCUUGUGCAUCACGCGAGCCCCUUGUGCUAUGUGCUCUAAAUAUUUUGGAAAUUAUUGAUCGAUAUUUGACUUCCUUGCUAUUACAUUAAUUAUUAGUUAGUACCUAAAAACAUUUGAGAACAUGAUAUUUGACAAGAAAAAACAGGCAUGACCUUUGUAAAAAUAAAUAAACAUAUUGAGUGCCAAACGAAGAUUUAAAUAUGGCCCUAAGCCUCUUAGCGGCGGCUCGGCCAAAAGCUUUGAAAUGAUAUAGCGUAGCUAUAGCGUGCUAUGCCACAUUUAGCGUUUAAGCAUAAAUCAAUAAAAAACAUACUUCCUGGCCCAAUUUGACAUAGUACUCUGUACUUGACAAUUGUAUAUCAACUAGCAUCCAUCAAUUUACAUAUACAAUAUGCUCUAUGCUUUUACUGGCACACUCCUCUGCUCAUAGAUUUGGUUAUUCGAACACCUAAUCUUAUGUGUAUUAAUGUUGGUACGUACCCCCUCCAUUUACUUAUACAAGGCCACUAUAGAAUAUACAUUUUACAUUUAUACAAGACCACUAACAGUAAAGGAGGCAAAGAUUAAUAAUGUUUUCUCGUACUAGCAAUUUGUUUAUAUAAUUGCAUGCAUGUAGUCAUAAUGACACUGACCUCCACUCAGCUUUCUUGCAUGCAUGUGCUGUAUUAAUGAUCCCAGUAACGCAAAGGAAAGCUAGGUUGCAAGACAUGUAUUAAAUUUUAUCUUAAUACAUGUAAUUUGAGUUUGCCUACCUUAUGCAGUUCCAGGAUGCGCCAGCCUCGGAAUUCCGGGCAGUCAUUAGGAAACCCAGGUCGCCGGAGAGACUUAAGAUGUUCUUCUAGCUUCGAGUGAAUUGCAAAAUACCACCACAUUUGAAGUUCACUUUCGCAAUCGCCACCACAUUACUUGCGCGUCCCAAAAAUCUACCAGUUUCCUUACAAAUUUUCUCAAUAAACACUAAUGACCGAUUUGGACGAUUUAAUCUAAUUUCUGACCAGUAGGGCCCACUUGUAAGUGCUGAUGUGGCACUAAAAGUUAAAGAAAACAGCGUCGACUGUUCGUCAGGAUCCCCUCCCUCCCCAUGAUCCCCAUCUCUCUGAAGUCAUCACCGCGUACUACACUUGAUGGUCGGCGCCGCCUAGCCCCUCUCUUGCCAUGCUCCGCCCCCUCCACCAUCCACCACCUCUUCUCCCUCCCAGCGUCGGCGAGAUCCACCGCCCCGCGCAGCCCCACAUCGGAUCUCGUGAUGCGGCCCCUCCCCCUGCCCCGGCGAGCUCCGUCCUCUUCCUCUAUGUCGUGCGGCGAGCCGAUCUCUAGCUCACGCCCCAGAACUCGCUGCCAGUCUCCAGUUCACGCCCACGAGCUCGUCGCCGCCGAUAUCCGGCUUCGCGCACGCUGGUCCGGUGCUAUUGGAGCGUCCGACCAUGGGGGUGGGGGCGUGCUUGAGCUUGUGCGGCGAUGUUGCGAUUCCUGAUCGAGGCCGAGGUGCCCGCCGAGGAGCUACCACGCAUGUUGCGGCCACCACACCCCGGGUCGCCGCCACCAGGAACCUGCCCUGGUGCGCCGACCGGAGAGUUGCAUGUCCUACCGCCGCUCUCCUCGCCCGUGGCGGCGGAUGUGGUCGCCGGAGUUGGCUUUCCGAGCCCCUCCACCAUUGCUCAUCUCCCCUCCGGCGGUGACGUGCUCACGGCAACCCUCCUAGGGAUCCAAUUGUAAUCUGAUUUUGUUUCUAGGGUGCUUUAUGACAUUUUUCAGGGACCCUUUGUAUGUUCAGCUGAUGAUUGGUGGGCCCAAUGUCUAACUUAGUGGUCAACAAACGGUGUUGACCCUUUUAUGCCAUGUCAGCGCUUACAUGCGGGCCCUUUCUGUCAAAAAUUGGGUUAAAUCGCCGAAUCGUUCAUUAGUGUUUAUUGAGAAAAUUUGUAAGAAAACAGGUAGAUUUUUGGGACGCGCAAGUAAUGUGGUGGCGAUUGCGGAAGUGAACUUCAAAUGUGGUGGUUUUUUGCAAUUCACACUCUAGCUUCUACUGCAAGAUUGAUUGUUGCAAUGACAGGGUGCAGCGGCGCGGAUGGGAAACCGGAUACUUCUGCUUGUUUUGCUUCCAAAGCCUAGAAACAUCGACUCAUCUCUUCUGGAGUUGUCCGGUCACCAUGCAGGUUCGGAAUGCUGUCAAAAAAGGGAGAGGAUGUGGAGCCCUAAACCAUGAGAAUCGGCACAGUGCAAGAACCACCCCAGAAAUUCUCAAAGUAAUCUCACAGCAAGCAAUUGCCGGGCAAGAAAGGAGGGCUCUUAGGUCCCUAUUAAUCCUUAUAACAUGGGAAAUUUGGCAAGAGAGAAACUCAUGCACUUUCAGGCACAAGAUCGCUUCGAUGGCCGAAGUGCUUGCAAAAUCAGACACAACAUGGAACUAUUGAAUUUGGCUGGGCCCAAAUGUUUUGAGUACCCUUUGGGGCGAUUGACGCAAGAAAUUAGCAUAGUUGGUGAACAGUCGGGACUAGGUUUCUGGGCACCGCGGUAGUUGUCUCAAAAGAUCACUUGAUCGAACUAUGUAUUCCGCACUCUUCUGCUAAAUCAAUGAAAUGCCAUAAAGUGUUGGGUCUUUAAAAAAAAAGAACCAUGCACACAUUAGCUAGCUCAGUUUUAACCCUGACAUUAGCUAGCAGAUACGUGAGGACAGGGGCGGAGCUGGGCCCCGGGCACCCAGGGCCCAGGCCCGGGGCGUGGAAAAAUUAAUAGGCUAUAGUUAUAUAGAAUUUUUGGCAGGCCCGGGGCGUAGCCCAGUGAAAAAGAAGAAGGCCCAAAGGCUUGAUGGACUGCUCACGCACGUACGGCAACAACACACCCCACGAUCCAGCACGCACGAGGCACAGGAGACCAAACGAUCGCGCGGCCGCCGACGCCCGCCGAGUCGCACGCACGAGGACGCCACGAUCGAUCUCAAGGAGCAGCAGGGACACCAGCGCCCGCGCCGCCAUUCGUCGUGGCUCCGCCCCCGGCCCACCCACUUUCUGCCCGUCUUUGCCUUCCUGUUCGUUGUUCUCCUGCGUGGCGCUGCUUCAUUGUCGGUUGCGGUAUAGCUUCUAAUUUUCUGUGAUGCUUUCUACUUGUACCAUGUUCUAUUCGCAUAAGUUGUAUCAGUGUACAAACUGCUCUAAACUGAAAUUUAUAUGAUGUUCUUUUGUAUCCAGUCAUAUAUGUAUGAUAUUGUUGAACCCAAAUUGAUGUAAUUGUCAAUUUCAUUUUAUAUAUUGUAGACAAAGAAGAUGAAGACAUUUUUUUCGCCGGUGUUCGCAACGGGGCUGUCUACACCUAUCAUUUCAGAUGGAGGGAAUCAAGUGGCCGAGGAAACUGAAUCAACACCAGAAACAGAAACAACUGUAGAAAUGAGGCCACCGCAUUAGACUUCAAGCAACCCACCUGCAAUGUCAACUGGAGAGAGAAACAAUCAUGGUAUUCCUGCUCGUGCCCUUGGUCAAUUCCAUAAAGGUGAUAUUGAAGCUGAUCCUAUCUUAGAAAACCAAUUGAAAGUUUAUGACUUCUCUUAUGAUAUUUUGCUUUCAAUGCCUUGAAGGUGUUGACUCUUCUUCCGCUUUUGAUGAGGUUAUGUGAGGCACUGAUGAAGCAAACCAUUGAUUCGGUACUCUUUUUUAUCAUGUACCGUUCUUUGAAGUUUUUAUCUAUUUCAUUGUAUUUUUAAGCAUUAAUUUUAAAUAAUAAAUUUUUAAUGCAACCGAGCCAUAUUUUGUAUGGGGUAUCUUUUAAUAAGGUAACUAAAAGCCUUAUGGGUGUUAAGAUUUUCCCUCGCGGCGAAUUUUUUUUGGCCCGGGGCUUGGUCCAAUCCUAGCUCCGCCACUGCGUGAGGAUGCCUCCGUCUCCGAGAGCAGAUAAGUUAGGAUACGUGACACCUCCGUCUCUUAGAGCGCACGCCAAGCCAGAGAAUCGGUGCUGAGUCAGGCUUGUGUAUCCGGCAAGCAAUAAAUGAAGGCAUGGGCAACGCUUCACGUUGUAGUAUAACCGAGGACGGACGUACACCUUGUGCAUCACGCGAGCCCCUUGUGCUCUGUGCUCACAGCUGGGUAAGAUCUUCACUCUGCUCAAGGCUCAUGGAAGUAAACAAAUAGAGGAUAUAAAUCCAUGUGCAUGGACGUGAUCAUCUGUGCCUCCGGAUAUUUUUCAUUGGGCUGUUUAGAGCAUCUCCAACGCUAACCCGCAAAACACACAUCGCAUUCAUCCUCGGGCACGUACUAUGUGGAAACCGGCCAUCCAAAGCUAUCCGUAUACAUCUGGUCUCAUUUCUUCUAAAGUCCGCACACUCAAAUAGCUGCAUACAUAGUUUAGAAUAGUUCGAAUGUUUAAAUGCAGCAAUAGUUCUAAUUGUAAAAAGUUCAAAUAUUACACUCAAAUAUUAUUCUCUCCUUUAACCGCCCACAGAUGCUCAUUCAGAUCUUCCUUC
rnacentral:lncRNA from 1 species